CCUCGCUGGCGCCCUGCUCUGGGACGUCGCCUGCAGGUACGCUGGCCGAACCCUGAACCUAUUCUUUUUGUUCCCCUGGUUCAGUUUUAUCGCCGAUAUAUCAGCUUCUCCGGACAGGAGUCGACCACAUCUGCUGGGAGCUACCUUGGGAGGGACAACAGUUUUCAGGUACCCGGGAUGCUCUUAUAGUGUUGGUUGAGGACACUCUUAUUCGUGGGCUUGGAUAGCUGUAUAGUAUACUGGUGCCAGGGACGAGCGUAUCAAUUUGAUAAGGAUUAAUGGGGGCUAGAUAGGCUGAAACUGCAAUUUGGUUAAUACUUGGGUGCAUUUGGUGGUAACGCUGCCAGUGUUUAUGUGGUUUUAAUGGAUGACUAUUCUGCUGGACAAGAAAAGUACAGUCUCUCCUUCACGUAAUCUCCAACCCUCAGUCACGAUAGUUUCCAUGUUAAAUUGGCCCAGGUGGAGUGGCCUAGGUGGAGUGGAUUUGGAUUAUACAUUAUUGCUACCAGCGAUAUGAGGAUCGGAGAUUGAAGAAGAUGAAUCAUGUACUGGCAGCUUGGUUGCGUUGUAUGUAGAAAUUUUGCUUCACAAAGAGCCUUAAGGCAGAAGUUGUCCAUAUACCAGCUCCCUAGAUUGUACCAUCCCUGUCCCUAACCCACAGUAAGUUGUUUUUAGAUUGUUGGUCAACUGAAACAGGUAGUACCUUAUGUGACCCUGAAACUAUGUGCUCCUCUUUCGGCUAUCUGGAUUUGAUUCUUGAACAACUUCAGUUAUUUUCAAUGUACACUGCAGAAUUCACUUGAAGAGGGUUCCCUCUGAUUCUGCAUAUAUUCACUUUGAUUCGUAGUAUAACGACUCACGUGAUUAUAUUAGACUGCUACGGACGAGUCUCAACCUGUAUAUAUUCAGGGCCUGCAAACGAGGACCGUCGAUCCUAGGAGGCCAGCACAUAGCAUCAGCGUCAUGGCGGCAAUCAAGUAUUGACUUUGACUUGCAGCUCAAAGAUAAGGCGGCCGCGCUGGCUUCAAAAGCUCCGGUUGUCAGGUCCAGUGAGCCCGGGAAGAACCUGACACCAUCAGCUGCUCUCAUGUCCUCUGCCGACAGUUUGUCGCUGCCUUUAUCAUUGCCCCACCUCCACCGACUCCACCGGGAGGGAAGGGCAACCGAGGAGCCGAGGUGGAAGACGAAGAAUUGAAGAAUCGGUAGAUCAUGCUCUUCCCACUGGUGGCAUGGAUGUCCAAGACAACCUUGGUAUGUCCCUAGCAAUUUUUUAUUUUAACUUUUUCUUCUCCAAAACUCACAUCAAGUUUUUUGUUUAAAAGAGUUUAGUUCAAAACAAUUAAUCUUUUGAAUAUACACUUUUAAAUAUGAUUUUUUAUAGUACGUUUCUAUUACACUGGAAACUUGGAAAACACAUUACAUAAGCAACUAGAUAAUACCUUGAACGUUGCCGCGGUUAGCCAAAAUAUAACAGUUGAAGAGAUGUGUAUAAGGAAUAAAGGUCAAAGAAAAGUGGAGUGCUUUUGCAUUUUAUAGUGAUGUACACUGCAUCAAUCUUAAGAUCCCGCCUGCAGUCAUUUGGUUUCAGAGGUAAGUGCUCUUUAUCUUAUUGCAAUUAUCUUUUCUCUGUAUAAUAGAUAAUUUUUGUUCUCUCAGUAAUCACCGAGGAAGACUAACUGCAAAUCAGCAUCUUAUCUUGUGAUUAUGAAUUUAUCUUUCCAUACCUUCAUACCUUCAUUAUCUUUCAAUUACCGAGGGGCUACUCUAUGGAAUUAUGAAUUUAUCUUUCCAUACCUUCAUAUAGUAGUCUAGCUCAUGAGUUUCCUAACAUUUCCUAGAGUAUAAGUUUAGUAAUUUAUAGCUGGGACUAUCCUGCCUUUUAUUGAUGAUCUAGACUGUAGACAUAUCUCCUGGUACUUGAUAGGAGUCUUUACCCUAAAAACAAUGUCAAGGAUUAUGUGCCAAUCUUUGAUUAAAUCCUAAAAUGAUUUCUUUGGUAGAUUGGAUUGUUCCUAUUCCAGGAUGUACUGAGGAUGUCUUAGGUGGAAAAAAGAAUUGCAAUUGUAUUUAUUCAUCAACUAAUUUGAUCAGUUUUCCUUUCACGUCAUGUGAGAAUUUGAAUUAACAGAGCGCUGAUGUUUAUUUCUGUCCAAUUAUAAAAUAUUCAAACUUACGUCACAACAUGAUAUGAACUGUGUGGAGAGCUAUGUGCAAUACCUUUACAAUUGGUUGCUUAAGCAUUACCAAGAAGAGACGGAUUUUUUUUUCGAGAAAACGCAAGAGAUUUUGCGUUUCAUUUCAUUGAACAGGAAGAAGACAUCGGGGUACAACCUCCAGAAGGAGGGACACACACACACACGACCGUCCUCACCAAGCGACAACAACUUGGUAAGGAGCUGCCCUCUACAGACUUCAAAGACAAAGACAUUAGGCCUCGCCAAGCCUAGCCUCCAACCAAGAAUGGCGAGGCAACGGGGCUCAGGGCAGCAGGGCAGUCAUGGAGAUGAAACGUCCCCAGAAGAGACGGAUUUCAUGGUCAAGAGUCAUGACAAGGCAGCAAUGGAGCGCCUUGAUCUUGUUUCAUCGACGCCUUUCAAAGGCAUUUCAUAUACAAAGACUGUGAAAGAUGCAGAUAGGAAGUUCGAGAAUACGGUUCAAUGGGGAAUUGUUUUAGCAUCUCAGCAUGAGAGGUAUUUGACUGAGGUGGUGUUCUAGAAGCUUGCUAUUAUUUUUUAACUACCCAAAGGAUGAAGCCAUUUUAUAUUAGGCUCAAUGAUGACCAAAAGAGAGUCGCUGCUAUGGAUGUUUUUGUUCCCCUUCUGUUUCUUUAUCAUGGCCAUAAUUUGGAUUAUCAUAUUAUUAUUGAUGGUUGUUCUUUCGGUUCUCCUACAAAUAUUGUCUUUAGAUGUAUCGUUAGAUGACAGGCUGUUGCUGCUGCAGGGAUACUACUUUUGCUUUGUCGUGAGUGUGAUUAAUGCUAAAUUCAGACUAAAUGUUUUGUAUUGAACCGAAUGUUGAAUUCGGCAACACCGUGCCUUCUAAUUUUUGCCCUUACCAUCCAUCAUUUUCCAAUGACAUAACAUUCUUUUGUCCUUUUCACGUGUUGAUUACUAAGUUCUGAUAAAUUUUUUUGGGGAAGUUCUGAAAUUUUUAGUAUAAGUGCCAUCAUAAAAGUAUGAUGUUAGAUGCAACUUUCCCUAAAUUAGGAUCCAAGUUCUAAUGUUUGUUUUCUGAAUUUGGAAAAUUAUCCAAAAGGCUAAAGCAUAUGAGGAAUCUCUGCAUUCUUUCUACCUCUUUCCAUAUACGAGGGCAGAGGAUGUGAGGCAAGUACUGCUAUAUUUUUCUUUAAUGAGUAGUAGCAAUCUGACGGGCUACACAAAUUAAAUGUAGGUAUUAGAAAGGAAACUUUAGUGGGCGUGACACGAGUUAUUUUAGGUGUGGUACACAUCAGUAUAACAGUCAGAUAGAACAUGCUAGCAUCUUUUAUUCUGAUUGUAUAUUAUACAUCCUCGGUAAACCAUUUUAUUCAAGGGAAUAUUUCUAGACUGGAGCGUGUUUUCCUACUGCCUGUGCUGUUUGAUACCACUUAUGUCUAUGCAUAAUCUUUCUUGUGUGUGGAUCUACUGUUAGGCACAGUAGCAAGAACAUAAGGAAAUUUAGCUAUUAUUGGUAAUGAGGGAAUGUGGAGAGAGAUUUCAGCUGCUGUUUAUGUGGUGGCGUGCUUGGCACUUAAGUGCACAUGCGGGACAAGUUUUGUGAUCAUUUGUAGCUGUAAUGGAAGUAUUGUCUCAUCGUUAGUUCACUGGUUGAGCUAAAGCUGUCGCUCUUGAAGUGACUAGACAGGCUACAACUUCAGCGUCCUCCCAUCAUUCAACUGGGUAUGUUCAGGUAUGUUCCAUUUUGUUACCUUCUACCUAUGUUUCAGCAGCUGGCAGAAAUAAUCAUCUAAUUUUGUCUGCAUUAUCUAAGAAUGCAAGCACAUAUUUUAUAUUCCGAAGGUUUAAUAGAGCAAGCACAAACUUGAUUGCUGUCCCGCAUGUGCACAUUCUUAAGUGUAUUUUUGUAGCUACCAGCUCUUGCAUUAUUGCACAUUCUGCUACAAUACUUUAUGAUAUGUUUGAAACUACUACUUCUAGCAUUGCCUAUCAAUGGUCUCUUGAGCAUGUCUACACGGUGGUCCAGUAACUGUUUUUUCUUGCAGCAUUAUACAAACAAGAAGCUGACAUAACAAUGCGAAGAGAUGUAUACUGCCUCCAGUAGUAAAACACACAUGGUAUGUUCUUUAUUAGAGCUUGGGAAAAAUGCAACUUUUGUUAAAAUGUAAUUGUUUAAGAGGAUUUUUCAAGCAACAUAACAGAAGACUGCAAGGCAAAUCUGGAGAAAUAACAUCGUAAUUAUUUACAUACUCAGUUUCUAUUUUACGUAAAGCACGGUGAAUCAUUCUUGUGAUGGUACUUUGGGCCCUCAGUCCUGACCGUGAAAUUGACUACGACGGGGAUGAUUAUAGUGUGUCUGCGAGGUUGCCUCUAAUAUGAAACCAGGUCCAAACUAUGUUCAGCCUAACAUACCUCGCUGGAGUGAUUUGUGUAGUGUGUGAAUCUUAAGAUGAGGUUAGAUGCUGCCCAACAAGAACUUGGAUAGGAACAUCGGUGUGAUGUCAAUCUGCAAAUCGUUAAUAAAGCCUUGUAAUUGUUUUGUUCCAGGUUGAUAUAUACGUUUUUUUUCUCACCAUUGGUGAACCCAAGGAGCACCGAUAUGUUCAUGGAAUCUUCAGCUGCAGCUGAUCUGAGGUACCAUCCAUUUAGCCGAGGUACCAUGGAUGCAAGGUGGAGCGGGAGGAGAAUUUGUGCACCAGCCGUGGUCUCCUUGAUGUUGCACUCAUUAUAUAUGGAGAACAAAAAUAUGUAUUAAAGAAAUCACGGUGGUGCAUUUGUUCUGAGUAUCUAACAUGAUCAUCGAGUAUGCAUUAAUUCAUUUUACUCCAAUAGUUUUUGUUGUAUGUCAAAUGACUGGAUGUUUUAAAUAUCCUCAAACCGGUGCAUACAUUGCAUGUCCUCACAAGCAUAAUCUAAAACCAUGGCUUGUAUGCUCGGCAGCUGUAGUUUCAA